UACGUAGGGUGCAAGCGUUGUCCGGAAUUAUUGGGCGUAAAGAGCUCGUAGGCGGUUUGUCGCGUCUGCUGUGAAAACUCGGGGCUUAACCCCGGGCCUGCAGUGGGUACGGGCAGACUAGAGUGCGGUAGGGGAGACUGGAAUUCCUGGUGUAGCGGUGAAAUGCGCAGAUAUCAGGAGGAACACCAGUGGCGAAGGCGACUUUCUGGCCUGUUCUUGACGCUGAGGCGCGAAAGCUAGGGGAGCAAACGGG
rnacentral:rRNA from 1 species